AUCUUCGCGGUUCUGGGUGCCCAGAAAGGCGGCGACGCGGCGGAUGACAACAUUAGGCCGCGACGCGCUCCUGGCCAGGCGGCGGCUGUAGUGUUAGCUUUGGACGCCGCAGUAGCCGCUGCCGGUAGCAAGCCGACUGAGGGAAGGUGGGGGUCCGCCCGGGCUGGUGGACCUCGGGGCCGAAAGUUCCCGCCCCGCUCGGGGGCUGAGCCGGCAGUGCCUCCGCGGCCGCUGGGCAGCGCCCUUCGUCCAGGCUCGCGCCCCAGCUGCCGCCGACGACAGCGGCCGAGAGAAGUUGGGGUCUGACUAGACGCUUACGGGGCCUCGGACCCCGGCGCCGCGGCGACCUCGGAGGAACCGGCUCCUUGCGUCCCGCCUCCCUGGGAGCUCCGCACGGGAUUUGCAGAUUUACAGAAUGGCUGCACAUUAAUGGAAAGAGAAGCAUAAACCUAUCUUCUUUCAUUAUGGAGGGAGGUUUGGCAGAUGGAGAACCUGAUCGAACUUCGGUUUUGAAAGAGGGAAGGAAGAUAUUUCUCAAAAUAAAGAUGAAUCUUCACUUUCUAUGUCAAAGAGCAAGUCUGAAUCUAA
rnacentral:lncRNA from 1 species